AUGGCGUGGUCCUCUGUAUUCAUAGCUCAUGACCAGAAAAAACUCUUCUUUCCCCACAAAUCCCAGUUUUUUCUUUUCUUUUUUUGUUCUUUUCUAUUCUGUUCUAUUCUGUUCUGUUUUUUUUUUUUUUGUGUUUUUCUUUCUUUAAGCUCUCUUUCUUCUCCUUCAUUCUUUCUUUUUUUUCUUUCUCUUCUUUUUCCUUUUUAUGCUUUUCAUUCCGUCUCAUAUCUUUCUCUUCUAUUACUCUCUCAUUCUUUGCUUUCUCUUCUUUUUCCUCUCUUACUUUCUUCACACUUUCUUCAUUCUGUUUCUUUCCAUUCUCCUUUUCCUUGUUUUUUUCCAUUUUUUCAAAUUUCUUUUUUUCUUGUUUAACUUGUUUUUUCUCUUCCUGUCUUCUCUUAUACUCUUUUUCCUUCUCUAUGAGACCACUGGUUGAACAAAAUGAUAAUAAUAAUUAGGCAUAUUUGAAUGGCAGCUGGUAAAUUCUCCUGAUGAUAAUUUGCAAAAAAGUAAAGAAUUCACUUUCAGGAAGAAAGAAUCCGAACCUAAAUUCUUUCGAGUAGACAACACUGAUGAAAAAAAUAGAAUUAGUAUUUAUUAUUAACAAUUCAUGGGAAGUUAGGUGGUACAACAGAUAAAGCCCUUAGUCUAGAGUCAGGAAUCUCUGAGUACAAAUCCAGGCUCAGACACUUAAUAGCUGUGCAACCCUGAGCAAGACAUGUCGACCUGUUUAUCUUAGUUUCCUCAUCUGUAAAAUGAGCUGGAGAAAGAAAUGGCAAACCGCUCCAGUAUAUUUGCCAAGAAAACCCCAGAUGGAGUCACAAAGGGGCAAACAUGACUGAAAAGACGGAAGAAUUUAUGUUUAUAUUUAUAUAGUGUUUGUGGUUUGCAAAGUCCUUUCCUAACAACCUAAUGAGAUAGAUAAGUAGUGAAAAUAUUUUCACAGAUGAGGAUAUUAAAGCUAAGGGCGAAGUAGCUUGCCCAAGGUCACACAGCUAUAAAAUGUUGAAACUGGGACUCAAAGCCAAGUCUUCUUAUGACUUCUUUUGCUUUUUUUCAUUUACAAUGAACUACCUCUUCAAGACAGCUUAGGUUUAAGAUUCUUUCCAAUUCCAAAAUUCCACAAGCCUUGAUUACUAACAAAAACUUAGAUGAGAUUAAAUUAUGAAAAAGCUCAGAAGAAAUAGAUACAAGUAUCCAAAUGAAAAGAAUUAUGGGACAUAUCUAGAAAUCUAGUUGAAAUGGAACAUAAACUACUACCAUUAAUAUACAUACAUAUCAGAUAAAAUUAACAUGUAAUCAUACAAUAUUUGAGUUGGAAGCUGGUUUGUAACUACAUAGGGUAUCUGAGAGCAGAGACCCAUUUGGUCAU
rnacentral:lncRNA from 1 species